GUUUAAGCAGCCGCGGUAAUACGGGGGGAGCAAGCGUUGUUCGGAUUUACUGGGCGUAAAGGGCGCGUAGGCGGUCAGCACAAGUCAGUUGUGAAAUCUCCGAGCUUAACUCGGAAAGGUCAACUGAUACUGUGCGACUAGAGUGCAGAAGGGGCAACUGGAAUUCUCGGUGUAGCGGUGAAAUGCGUAGAUAUCGAGAGGAACACCUGCGGCGAAGGCGGGUUGCUGGGCUGACACUGACGCUGAGGCGCGAAAGCUAGGGGAGCGAACGGGAUUAGAAACCCGAGUAGUCC
rnacentral:rRNA from 1 species